rnacentral:rRNA from 1 species
AACGAACGCUGGCGGCAGGCCUAACACAUGCAAGUCGAGCGAGAUCUUCGGGUCUAGCGGCGGACGGGUGAGUAACGCGUGGGAAUAUGCCCUUCUCUGCGGAAUAGCCUCGGGAAACUGAGCGUAAUACCGCAUACGCCCUUUGGGGGAAAGAUUUAUCGGAGAAGGAUUAGCCCGCGUUGGAUUAGGUAGUUGGUGGGGUAACGGCCUACCAAGCCGACGAUCCAUAGCUGGUUUGAGAGGAUGAUCAGCCACACUAGGACUGAGACACGGCCCAGACUCCUACGGGAGGCAGCAGUGGGGAAUCUUAGACAAUGGGGGCAACCCUGAUCUAGCCAUGCCGCGUGAGUGAUGAAGGCCUUAGGGUUGUAAAGCUCUUUCAGCUGGGAAGAUAAUGACGGUACCAGCAGAAGAAGCCCCGGCUAACUCCGUG